GUACAGGCGGGUUUUAGCCCCGUCCUUAUCAA
rnacentral:tRNA from 1 species